AACCGCACGGAAAAAUCCAUCUUCCCGUGCGGUCGGGUUAAGUGGACCGCACGGGAUAAUCGAUUAUCCCAUGCGGUA
rnacentral:pre_miRNA from 11 species